AGCACAGAGCAAGAAGAAGAGUCCCUAAGUUGAUCAACAGCUCAAAGAAGAGACCCUUGCCGGGAUAGCUGCUGAGACCCUGGCACGAGAGGGCAGUGGACUCCCUCAGCCCCAGGAGAACCAGAUAAAGGAAGCAGCAUCUGUCCCAGAAGAUCCAGGGAGAUCUGAGCAGCCGGGCCAGGAAGUUCCUUGAAGUUCUGGAUCUUUGAUGUCUUGAUGAAGGUAUAAAUCCCCCUAGCCCGUUCCUGAACUACAUGUCCUGGAACUCAAAGUGUCUGUAUUCUUGGCUGGGACUGGCCUCCAGAGAGUUGGUGGCCAUCUGUGUGAUCGGAGGGCCGCCAGGAUACCACUCCUACUGCCGAGUCGUGCUGUGUGAAAUCCUGCCAGGUGAUAAUCAUUUCUUGGUCAUCAAGAGCCCAGUAGGGGUGUGAGUGAUGCACUUGUAGUUCUUUUUUUUUUUUUUUUUAGUUCAGAAGGGAUGAGGUUGGAAACUUUGGAAACUUUGAUAUAACUAGAGUUUUCUCUCUUAAAAGAAAACUUAUCUGAAACUUAGAAAUAAGGAAGGCCAAGGGACAUUCCCCACCCCCCAAGGUCAUACUGGGGGCAUUGUUUGUCAGGCUCACCCAGAGAUAGUUCCAUUCUUGAAGAGAAUAUACCUGUGUGUGACUUUACUAUUUACUAGUUGAUAAGCCCAGACACAGUAAAUAUACAUGUUACCUUAUCAAUUUCUGUCCCUUAGCGAAGAUAACCACAAGGGUUACAGGCUCAUUCCCACGUCGGCACAUUCACCAGCUUCCUAGCUAGCCUGGCAGUCACUCCAACACUUUAUCUUGUUCUUAAAUGCUGUAAAAUUCCACAGAUGUUCUUUAAGCUUCUUUACUAUCCUAUUGGCUUAACAAGUUGAAUAUUAAUUUUAUAUUUGUGUAAAAGUUGUGUGUUUAACUUUUUAAACUUAAUAAAUUUAAAAACUUAUUAAGUGACAGGAAGGUAAGGAGACAUUAGGGCCAUAGCUUUAAAGACGUGACAUGGAUCUCAUUUAUAUGUGACGAGCUGGGUCUACCGUCGAUCCUUGAAGCAGCAGGAUGCGUCAGGUGGCAUGGAAUCUGUGCAGGGAGCCCCUUGGUGCGCAAGAGGCCACUGGAUUUUUUUUUCCAACCUUAACAGCUAGCUGAGAGCAAGGUCAGAAGAAGAGGGUGUGGGUGGAGCCAGGGCCACCAGAUGGAAGGAGGGGAUUUCUGACUGCUGUUGUGAUUUCUGAACCAAGGCCCCUGGCAGAUGCAAAUGUCAACUGGAGGAGGAGACCUCAGAGGUGGAGGAAUCUAGGGAAGACAAGGUCCGGUGUGAUGAUGGAGUGGAGCAGAGGAGGAUGAAGUAUGAUGCUGCAGAGCACAAUCCUCAGACUUCUGGAAAGAAGUUGUUCAUUUUGCUCUUCUGCCUUUCCAUUCAAACUGGCUGAAAACACCACUAACUCCAGAUGAAAGACAAGCAGAUCUUUGCCAAUUUGUAAUGCUCUCCAGGAGAGAGGUGGGGGUGCCGAGCAUCGCAUUUUCCUGUAGUUGCUUGUUCUUCAGCUGCUUUAAAAAGUAUCCUGCCAACAUGGAGAAAUCAGAACCCUCAUCCACCACGGGGGAAUGCAAAAUGAUACAGCGCCUUUGGAAAACAGACUGGCAAUUCCUAAAAAACACUAAAUAUAAAGUUAGCAUAUAAUCCAGUAAUUCCACUCCUAAGUCAGUAUUCCCAGGACAAUCGAAAAAUGCAUGUGCCUAAUAAAACUUGUGCACAAAUGUUCACGUCAGCAUUGUUCAUAUUAUUUUUUCUAAAGAUAAAUUAAGUGAGAUCUUUGUUAUUUGUUUUGUUCCUUACCUAGUCAUAUCUUUUUGGAAACAACUCAAUAGUGGGAUAAAUAUAUGAUCUUCCCUCACCCCCAGUUCUUCUUCUUUCCAUGGUAAGGAGGGGUUCCAUGGCUGAGGUCAGCUUUGGCCCACAGCCCCGGGGUCAGGCCUGUGUUCAUCUGUGGAGAUUCGAAUCAUAAUAUUGCAAGCUAGAUUUACCUUCCUUGGGAAUUUAGUUCCUUUUUAUUUCCAAACACAUUUUCUUUAUUUCAUCCUAUUUAUUUCUGCACCCUGCCUCAAGCUCUGACAAAUUUGAAUUUUUCCAAAAGCACAGAGAA